rnacentral:sRNA from 1 species
GUCGCUGCAAAAUCAGCGACCGGGUUUGGCGACCCGAGUUUAAGAAGGCGCACAGGCGCCCCCAUCUCGAUUGCAGGCGCUUUUUUU